CUCCGAUUGACCUCGUCUGUUGUAUCUUCAACGAUUUCAUUGCUGUGGUAUUAUCUGUUCUAAUGCAUCCUAUAUUUAGGAGGAGGGGUUAUGGCUGUCCAAGCCUCUUUGACUCAGAGGAAGCAAAAAAGAGAAAAGGCUGUGGUCCUGAGCUCUUUCACCAGAUGGCCCUUAUGCCAUCGAGGUUAAGAGCCAGAGCCAACCUGUCACCCUCACAGCCACAGUCUUUGCUGCCACCUCUAGAAAAACCCCAAGCUUCAUCACAUGUAGCCUCUUCACGAGCUUCCAUCCCCUCACAAGCUUCUACUUACCCACAACUAUCCUCAGUGCCUACAGCCACCCUGCGCUCUUUAUUGAUCGGGAAAGGCAAUUCUCAGCAUAGUACAGACUAGUUGUCUGUAAAGUGGCUGUUUCUCUGAGCAAAAGUUUCAGCUGUAGAGAAGAAUUUGCCUUCCCGCUGGUUGCAUCCCCAGCCUGCUAGAUGUUGACCAGCGCUGGAUUGCUAAGGCCCUGUUCCGGUGGUCAAGCUUAACUAAACCUGAGCUGGACCACAAAGAGAUGGACAGAAUUUGAUGGCAUCCACCUCGGCCAUCUCUGAACUUAAGUGGCAGCAUUGGAGCAGUUUUUUUGACACCCCGUUUCUGUGGAUGCC